AGUGAACGCUGGCGGCAGGCCUAAUACAUGCAAGUCGAACGGCAGCACAGCAGAGCUUGCUCUGUGGGUGGCGAGUGGCGGACGGGUGAGGAAUACAUGGGAAUCUGCCCAGUCGUGGGGAUAACGUAGGGAAACUUACGCUAAUACCGCAUGCGCCCUUCGGGGAAAGCCGGGGACCUUCGGGCCUGGCGCGAUUGGAUGAGCCCAUGUCGGAUUAGCUAGUUGGCGGGGUAAUGGCCCACCAAGGCGACGAUCCGUAGCUGGUCUGAGAGGAUGAUCAGCCACACUGGAACUGAGACACGGUCCAGACUCCUACGGGAGGCAGCAGUAGGGAAUAUUGGACAAUGGGCGCAAGCCUGAUCCAGCCAUGCCGCGUGAGUGAAGAAGGCCCUCGGGUUGUAAAGCUCUUUUGUCCGGAAAGAAAAGCGCCGGGUUAAUACCCCUGGCGUCCUGACGGUACCGGAAGAAUAAGCACCGGCUAAACUUCGUGCCAGCAGCCGCGGUAAU
rnacentral:rRNA from 1 species